GUGGGGAAUUUUGGACAAUGGGCGCAAGCCUGAUCCAGCAAUGCCGCGUGCAGGAAGAAGGCCUUCGGGUUGUAAACUGCUUUUGUACGGAACGAAACGGUCCGGGUUAAUACCCUGGGCUAAUGACGGUACCGUAAGAAUAAGCACCGGCUAACUACGUGUCAGCAGCCGCGGUAAUACGUAGGGUGCAAGCGUUAAUCGGAAUUACUGGGCGUAAAGCGUGCGCAGGCGGUUUUGUAAGACAGGCGUGAAAUCCCCGGGCUCAACCUGGGAAUUGCGCUUGGGACUGCAAGGCUGGAGUGCGGCAGAGGGGGAUGGAAUUCCGCGUGUAGCAGUGAAAUGCGUAGAUAUGCGGAGGAACACCGAUGGCGAAGGCAAUCCCCUGGGCCUGCACUGACGCUCAUGCACGAAAGCGUGGGGAGCAAACAGGAUUAGAUACCCUUGUAGUCC
rnacentral:rRNA from 1 species